rnacentral:rRNA from 1 species
AUUGCUGGAACGCGCUUCGGCGCACCCAGAAACCCUUUGUGAACUUAUACCUAUCUGUUGCCUCGGCGCAGGCCGGCCUUUUGUGACAAAGGCCCCCUGGAGACAGGGAGCAGCCCGCCGGCGGCCAACUAAACUCUUGUUUCUAUAGUGAAUCUCUGAGUAAAAAACAUAAAUGAAUCAAAACUUUCAACAACGGAUCUCUUGGUUCUGGCAUCGAUGAAGAACGCAGCGAAAUGCGAUAAGUAAUGUGAAUUGCAGAAUUCAGUGAAUCAUCGAAUCUUUGAACGCACAUUGCGCCCUCUGGUAUUCCGGAGGGCAUGCCUGUUCGAGCGUCAUUUCAACCCUCAAGCCUGGNUUGGUGAUGGGGCACUGCCUUCUAGCGAGGGCAGGCCCUGAAAUCUAGUGGCGAGCUCGCUAGGACCCCGAGCGUAGUAGUUAUAUCUCGUUCUGGAAGGNCCUGGCGGUGCCCUGCCGUUAAACCCCCAACUUCUGAAAAUUUGACCUCGG